CGGUAAUACGUAGGUGGCAAGCGUUAUCCGGGAUUUAUUGGGCGUAAAGAGAGUGCAGGCGGUUUUCUAAGUCUGAUGUGAAAGCCUUUCGGCUUAACCGGAGAAGUGCAUCGGAAACUGGAUAACUUGAGUGCAGAAGAGGGUAGUGGAACUCCAUGUGUAGCGGUGGAAUGCGUAGAUAUAUGGAAGAACACCAGUGGCGAAGGCGGCUACCUGGUCUGCAACUGACGCUGAGACUCGAAAGCAUGGGUAGCGAACAGGAUUAGAUACCCUGGUAGUCCAUGCCGUAAACGAUGAGUGCUAGGUGUUGGAGGGUUUCCGCCCUUCAGUGCCGGAGCUAACGCAUUAAGCACUCCGCCUGGGGAGUACGACCGCAAGGUUGAAACUCAAAGGAAUUGACGGGGGCCCGCACAAGCGGUGGAGCAUGUGGUUUAAUUCGAAGCUACGCGAAGAACCUUACCAGGUCUUGACAUCUUGCGCCAACCCUAGAGAUAGGGCGUUUCCUUCGGGAACGCAAUGACAGGUGGUGCAUGGUCGUCGUCAGCUCGUGUCGUGAGAUGUUGGGUUAAGUCCCGCAACGAGCGCAACCCUUGUUACUAGUUGCCAGCAUUAAGUUGGGCACUCUAGUGAGACUGCCGGUGACAAACCGGAGGAAGGUGGGGACGACGUCAGAUCAUCAUGCCCCUUAUGACCUGGGCUACACACGUGCUACAAUGGACGGUACAACGAGUCGCGAACUCGCGAGGGCAAGCAAAUCUCUUAAAACCGUUCUCAGUUCGGACUGCAGGCUGCAACUCGCCUGCACGAAGUCGGAAUCGCUAGUAAUCGCGGAUCAGCAUGCCGCGGUGAAUACGUUCCCGGGCCUUGUACACACCGCCCGUCACACCAUGAGAGUUUGUAACACCCAAAGUCGGUGGGGUAACC
rnacentral:rRNA from 2 species